UUGAAAAGUGAAAAACAGAAGAGUUAGUUGGAACGUUUAAGAUCGACGUCGUUUCGCCACGACACGUGAAGGAUAAAUUUUAUUUCACUCUUGAUCUUGAUUGUAUAUUUGUAUCCGGUUCACUGGCAAGUCGUCUUGUAGUUUUUGGCGCUCAUCUUGAAGAAAAAGCGUCCAACUCCUAGCAAUGAGUUACCGCCCUGUUCCUCCUUACCCACCACCAGGGACGCCACCUCCGUAUCCUCCGCCACCAGGCUACCCACCUCCACCACCGCCACCAGACUUCCCACCUCCGCCACCACCUGGGCCUCCCCCUCCCC